rnacentral:rRNA from 3 species
UACAGAGGGUGCGAGCGUUAAUCGGAAUUACUGGGCGUAAAGCGCACGUAGGCGGCUUGGUAUGUCGGGUGUGAAAUCCCCGGGCUCAACCUGGGAACUGCAUCCGAAACUGCCUUGCUCGAGUAUGGGAGAGGGAAGUGGAAUUUCCGGUGUAGCGGUGAAAUGCGUAGAUAUCGGAAGGAACAUCAGUGGCGAAGGCGACUUCCUGGACCAAUACUGACGCUCAGGUGCGAAAGCGUGGGGAGCAAACAGG